AGUUCAGAUGUGCGCAGUGUAAGGUGAAACUCGGUAUGAAAGAUUGAAAUGGAAGAAAUUAAGUAUGCAAGGGAUUUAAUCUCAUUCCGCCGCAUAAAUCAAACUUCCUCUGGCACGGCAAGAAAUACAACAUUAAAACCGAAUUUUCUGCAAUGGGCGAAAGCCUGACGGAGCAAUACCGCGUGGAGGUGGAAGGCCUACGGGUCGUCAGCUUCUUUUCUCAGAGAAGAAACAAUGACGGUAUCUGAGGAAUAAGCAUCGGCUAGCUCUGUGCCAGCAGCCGUGGUAAGACAGGAGAUGCAAGUGUUAUCCGAAAUGACUGGACGUAAAGCGUCUGUGGGUGGCAAGUCCGCCGUGAAAUCCGAGGGCUCAACCCUGGACAGGCGGUGCUUGAGAAUUGAGAAGAUGAAACGUCUAAUGGAUGGAGGGAGAGGCGGACCUGGAAUAGGUGGGCGAGCUCGGCGACCUUGAAGGUGGAGGCAGCGAAGAAGACCUACGCCAUGAAGGAGACGACGGACGGAGUCCGACGUGCGCGCAACCGUACUCGUCGAUGCAGAAGCACGCCGACUUG
rnacentral:ncRNA from 1 species